UUCUGUACUGUCACUUUCCUUUUUCUGUCCAUAAAUCUUCUUCCGCCACGUGGCUGCACUGGAGUCUCUGAGCCUACUCUGGCUCAGGAGGCUGCCGGAUUUGCGAAUCCUUCUUUGCUCAGUUAAACUUUGUUAAACUUAAUUUGGCUAAAGUUUUUCUUUUAAUGUUGGCCAUCAUGAAACCAAUAAAAUCUGCUGAGAACCUAACAACUAGAUUUCUUUUUGCCUUUUUCUGUUUUGUUUGUCUUUCUUUUUUGAUCUAUUUUGUCUUUUCUCCGUUUUCUGGUUCUUCUUUCCCUCCUGGCUUAUAUUUCUAGCAUCAUAAGGGGAAAUAUUUCUUUUUCUGGUAAGAUAUUAGAAAUUUGGCCUGUUUAGUCUAUCUCAUGGUUUUCUGUGUUCUAAAAUAUCUUUCAGUUUUCAGUCACAAUUUGAAAGCAUCGUUAGCCCUGGUUAUACAGAUGUGCCUAGGAUGUGACUCAGAAGCUGUCUGGUGAAAUCUCCUAUAAUGUAUGGUCCUUGGUAACUCCUAAGCCCCUUCUGCCCCUCAAAGAGCCACAACCUGGCUUAUGAACAAAUGGCCGCAGCUCUCCUGCUAACCACCAUGGAUUUCAGUGGGUCUAUCUGGUCUCCAUUCCUGGUCUUCCUGAGAAGUAAGGUCAGGAGCAGCAGGGGCAGUUGGACUUAGGUCUAGGGCUCUGUUUCUGGUCAUCGGGGGAGUGCUGCAAGACCCACCAGCUCAAGGUGCUAACCUGAGCCUAUCACCUCUGGAUGAAAUGGGGUAAUGUGGAUGGGUGAUGUUGGACAACUGGAAGGAGGACUCAGGUAGCCCCAGCCAAAACAAAAGAG
rnacentral:lncRNA from 1 species